ensembl:lncRNA
UGAAAGACAGGCAACAUACUAUAGAGUAUAUGUUCUUGCUUAAGGAUUCCUGCAGAGGUCCAAAGAAGUCAUCAGAUCUCCUGGAACUGAAGGGACACAUAGUUUGGAGACAACUAAGGGAUGCUAAGAACUGCAUACAAGUGUCUUUAAGAUAAGCAAGUACUACUCAUCACUGGGGCAUCUCUUCAAUGCUCCUCUUAUCCCAUUUUCACACUCCCUGGAACUCCUCACUAAUCUUACCUCAAUUCCUCCAAAUGAUACAUGGUCUUUUGCUACAGUUUUUCUCUCUACUUUACAGGAUUUUUUGCUUUUGCUUUUAGCUUAUCAGUUAGACAACCAUAUAAGAAAAGCAUUCUUCAGAAUUAAUUAGAAUUUCUAAUACAUUACAGUACCAGUACAGAAAGGGG